AGAAGAGUGCAGUAUGUUUGAUGGUCCUGCUUGAGCCAUUUGCUCCAAUUGGAUCUGGUAAAAGUAGCGUGCUUGGAGACAUAUAAACAUUUUAAAGAGACGGGAGACGUUUGAUUGGACCUGAAUAGAACUGCCAUCUGUAAGAGAUUCUGCACAAGUCCUGUGGGCAAAAGGUUACAGUGAACUGAAAUGUGGAAUGCUGUGACCCUCUGGCAGCAGCGUGAAUCAUGCAUUGAAGAGGAAUCAGAGAUAGGAACACUAGCUAAACACAAGGCAUUUCUUAGAAAAGAAGACAAGGCAAUGAAAUAGAUUCAGUCCCCGAGCAACCUGACUGGUUGAUAUUGAGAGCUAAGGAGGUGAUGGGGAAGAAGGGGAGCACAGGAUGCAUUAAACACAAACUUCUGUUUCAUAGCCCUGCAAGAAGCUAUUUCAACUUAAGACACACUCAAAUUGGAUCCCAUCCAGUGGGAUAGAAGAGGACCAUGGAUGCAGCUGGCAAGAAAGAUGAAGGAGCCAAACAGUAAUCAGGAGAAUACUAUCCUGGGUGCUAAAGAUGCUAUUAAAUGGCUUCAGAGAUCAAGAAAAGAAGUUGGUGUGGAGAUAAAGAAAACGAGCAUUUGAGGCCGGGCCCAGUGGCUCUCACCUGUAAUCCCAGCACUUUGGGAGGCUGAGGCGGGUAGAUCACUAAAUCAGGAGUUCGAGAGCAGCCUGGAUGACCUGGUGAAACCCCGUCUCUACUAAAAGUACAAAAAUUAGGCGGGCAUGGUGGCGCAUGCCUGUAAUCCCAGCUACUAGGGAGGCUGAGGCAGGGGAAUCGCUUGCACCUAGGAGGCGGAGGUUGCAGUGAGCUGAGAUCACUUCACUGCACACCAGCCUGGGUGACAGAGCAAGACUCCAUCUUGCAAAACAAACAAACAAACAACAACAACAACAAAAAAACAAGCAAUUGGUAUGUUGAUUCUGAGAUGCCACAAGUGCACCUAGAAGGCAAUAUGACAGCUGGUUAUACUCUUCUUGAGAUCCUCAAUAUGGGUGGUCUGAGAAGAUUAGCCAGUAGAAGAGAGGAGACAAGAAUCAAGGCUAAUGCACUCUUUCAGAGGCCGAGGAAGGAGAGGACUUCAGAAGGAUGGGGGCGGUGGUCAGGAAGGCCCAAUUAUUUUUUGCAAUUACUAAAAUAGUAACAUAAUUUUGGCAAUUCUUCUAUGUGACUAUGUGGGGUGAACCCCAAUGUGCUAGGAAAACAUCAAAUUUGUUGGAAAUUCUGGUCUCUCUUGAAGUUAACAAUCUUUCUUGACCAUUCUUUGAGAACAGUCCGUAAAAACUAAUUUGCUUUGCAUCUGUAUUCCCCAGUAUUUAACCUAGAUGUUUAUCAUUCAUUCUUUCUGCACUUUUUCAUCCUUUGUAAUUGCAACUAGGGUUCUCUGUCUAAAUUUCCACUUUGACUUCUCUCCACAGUAUUUCUGUUUUACUCCUCACAUUGACUGGGCUGUGUCACCAGCCUCAUAUAAGAACCUCACAGUUAAAAAUGUCCUCUCUGCCUAUCUACUCCUGUACCAUCCUCAUGGACAGGUUUCUACAGGGCACAGGUAUAGACUGUGUAUCAAAGAAGCCGGCUAUACCAGGAAUACAUACAAGCAACUGUUAAAAUCCAAAUAAUUAUUUUGUUACUGAAGUGUUUAAGCAUCAGAGCUUAAAAUGAAGCAUCUUUUGUAGUUUUAAGUUUUUAUAUAUAAAUUAAGUUAUUCUUCCAUUUCACAGUUGGUAACACCUAGAAAACCUGAUUGAAAAAAACACAUUGGGAGAAAGAGGACACAGAUAUCAUCUGGAAAGGAAAAGAUUUGUGUUAACAAAUAUAUAACGUGCUCACAAUGGAAAGCUCCCACUUCUCACUUUCCCUCCUCCUUCCAGCUAACAUGGGUUUGGGUUUGUUUUGUUGUUGUUUUAUAAGCUGUCACAGUGGUAGAUGCAGAUUGAAGCUCCAGGCAAUUGCAAUUAAAUCAGGAAAAAGAUAUGCAUUCACCAAGGUUAACACAAGCUGCAGCUUAAUCAGGAUGAAACAAACAAACACAUCCAAGGACCUCAAAAUAAAUACAGCCAUUUCAAUCACCUUCUUUUAAUAUCCACCUCCCCCCGCCCCCGCAACCCCUGCAAUAACUUAAAAAAACACGCGCAAUGAAAAGCUAAAUAAAUAAGUUCCCAAGUCAAUAUAUAUGUCAUGAAAAUUUUCAAGCUACCAAUGUAACACAUUAUUUCAGUUUAUUGGCUAUUGAUCUCAAAACAAGUCAUUAUAGGAUUAAAGACAAAUUUUGAUACAAUAGAGACUCCUCAUAUAUAAGCCAUAGACACAUGUAUAAACUUAAUAUUGAUUGACUUUACAGAUAAAUAUUCAUAAUGAGCUCAUUGUUUUAAUUUGUGUUUGAAUACGUGUUUCCUUUUAAAUUUGGUUUGAGGAUAUAAAUUUUGGUAAAUGGCUUAUCAGCAUUACAUCUAAAUAGAUGUGCAUACAAAUACACUGAGGAUGGUGGUUCGAGUGUAGUAGGCCAUAUGAACUUCAUAUGAUUGGUUUUUUGUGAUGGCAUUACAUUUAUCAUCAUCUCUUGUCAUUAUUAUUUUUUAAAUGAUCUAUUUAAUUUGGAUACUUUCAGUCUCUAUAGGUAACUCUCCAUGUUGCUGCCAGACCUAUUACGUUAAAAAAAAACUUCUAUUUUUCUCAAAAUGUUGUAUGGCUCUCUGUUUCCUACAGAUACAAAUUCUAAACUCUUUAGCUUAAUUUCUAAAGUUACCUAUUUUUCCCUAUGCCCUUGUUUUUUUCUGAUUAAAUUACUUUAUAGGAAUGUAUUUAUACAAAGCUUAGACCUAACAGUCCUGAUUAACUCAUCUUUAACCAAGCUUCUGAGCCUUUGUUGGUGCUGCUCCUACAGCUUGGGACAGUAUUUUCACUGCCCCCAAAAUUAUCAGUCUCCUAGUAUUUCUUAAAGACUGAAGCCCGGGUGUGUGAUGUUCCCCUCCCUGUGUCCAUGUGUUCUUAUUGUUCACUCCCACUUAUGAGUGAGAACAUGCGGUGUUUGGUUUUCUGUUCCUGUGUUAAUUUGCUGAGAAUGAUGGUUUCCAGCUUCAUCUAUGUCCCUGCAAAGGACAUGAACUCAUCCUUUUUUUAGACUGAAGGCAUCCUUCUGUGAUGCCUUGUCUAACGCUCCCAGUUAGACUCACUCGUUCCUUUGCACUGCCAGCAGUACUUUGCUUAUACUUUUUGAAAUAGCGUGUGUUUUAUUCUCCUGCCUUGAUUUUAGUCAUUAACACAUGCAUCUCUUGAUAGAAAUUUUUAUCAUCUUAAGGUAAGGGGCCACAUCCAAUUUAAUUCUAUAUGUCACUCCCAUAUUAUCUAGAUUACUAUUGGUACCUGGUAGGUUUAGACUUAUUAAUUUAUAUUUUAAUCCACAAAUCUAGCCAUCUAUUUAUUCAAUAAUUUAUCACCUCUUGCAUAAAUAUUGAGCUCUUUAUAUGAUACUCAAUGGUAACAAAGAUACAGUGAAUGAACCAUAACAAAGACACAGUGAAUGAACAGACAGUAGUACCUAUCCUGGCUUCACUGACAUUCUUGUCUGAAAGACAAGCUUUAACAAGUAGUUGCAAGGAAGUGUGCAAUGAGUGUUUGGUCUAGUUUGAACACUAGGAAAAGAAGAAUGCCACAGUCUAGGUACCAUUAAAGUCCACCUUGAGAAAGUGCUCUUUAAUUUGAAGUUUGAGUGAUUAGAAAAUGUUCACCAAUUUAAGAAGGGGAAGAAGGCAGAACAGAGUGUUUCACUCUAAAGAAGAAAAAGAAUGUGAAAAUCUGUAAAGAUAAAAGAGAUUUCUUUAGUUAUUUUCUAAAAGAGAAAGUGAGAGAAGAGAAUGAAGGAGAGUGACAGAAAGAUACUAAAAUAAGAGUUUUAUGGAACAAGACCUCAAAAGGAUGUAGAAAAGCCAUAUAAAUUUAUAAUCUUGAGUAAUAGCAAAAUAAGUAAGACAAUUUUGAAAAUAUUAUAUUAUAUUCUGACUUCUCCAGAAGAGAACUUAAGGAUGCUGUUAAACAAUGGUCAAAUUAUAAGUGAAUAGGGAAGGUAGGAAUUGAUUCUAGCAUCUACAGAUAAGACCAAAUAUAUUUGUUAUCACCAAACAAUGGUAUGACUAUGUACUUAAUUGGCUAUCUGUAGUCAACUCUGAAAAUCUAUCCCAUAUCUAAUUCCUCAUUUCAACUAUAAGACCCCAAACCUAGUUGGUAUACAAUAAAUCAUUGUUGAGUGAUAGAAAAUAUAUAAAACAUUGCAUAUCUUCCCAGAUGUGUACAAAUUGUUACAUUGCCCACGUUAUAGAAAUAUAUGACAGCUUUCACUUACAUUUCUCACAUCUCUCAGAUGCAUAUUUUUUGCUUUAUUGGCUUUAAACUCAUAUUAAUACCAUAAAAUCAGCCCUGGGGGCACUGUUAGGCUAUAAGCAUUUCUCUGAUUCAAAUGUUAUAUAUCCAUACUCCUACAUCAUUACUUCCCAGUGUCUGUUAUUUUCAGAAUUUUCUGAAGGCAAGAUUCUUGCCCUCCUUCUCUGUCAUUUAGACUUAAUUUAUUCUCUUAAAAAUUGCAUUCAAGUCAGAACCAGUUAUUACUAAAUGGUACGGUUUGUUCCUUUUCUAAUGUUUUUCCUUUGUUUUGUUUCUUUUCUACACUUCUUUUUAGAAGGAGCUCCAAAGAUCUGCCACUUCAUUUUCCUCUCUCACUCUUAAAUCCUUUCUGCAGUAAUGGCAACUAGUGGUCCUUUUGUUCUGUUUAAGCAAUUUAUGGAACAGCUUGUCCCCAACAUCCCAAUAAUUUUGUACAUGAUUAACUGUCAAAAUAGUCUUUAUUUUAAUGAACUAAACUUAGCCUCUUUGUCACCUUUGUAAAAAAAAUUCUACAUUAUGCUUUCUAGAGACAUUAAGAAAAAAUUAAAUAACAUGACUCUCUUUCUUGCAUGGUAGAAUUCCACUAUUUUAAGACAAUGUUUACAGCAUACUUUUUUCUUUCUAAACACAAUAUGGUCCAGAUGACAGGUAUGUGUUCCUGAUCUCUUGAGAGUUACAUAUCCCUAUUUCAACCCCUGUCCUCUGUUCCAUGGAAGUUUAAAUCAACCACCAAUAUUUCUGGAAUUUAAUGGGUUAACUGCAUUCUCAAGGCUAUCUAUGUUUACGGUUUGUAUUUCUAUAUACAGUCAUUCUUAUCCCAACCUAAUUAGUCAGGAUAGGGAAUUUCUCAAUUUCUUGAUUCCAUUUAACACAAAUGAUUUGCAGAAUAUUGAAGAUUCUGGGAAUACAGUAGUGUAGAGGAAUGGUUUAUUUCUAUUUUCCAAUAAUGUAUACCCUUGAAACAGAACACUUAACAUUCCCGUUCUUAUACUGCCUUUUACUGUCUUAUACUCUCUUUUUCACUGAUUAACUUUAUUCUAUGCCAUUCCCAGUCUCUUUGUCUUCUCAUUGGCUUACCUUCUCACUACACUACCUUCUCUGUCUUUUCCCUUCUCAUUGAAAUUGUGGAUAGAUUCUCUCUCCCCGCUCUCUCUGUAACUCUCUCCCUCUGCUUUACCCUUUCCUUUCUUCCUCUCUUUCUUCUCCUAUCUCUUCAACCUCUUCACCAUCUCUCUCUUACCUCACUGUUAGUUCUAGUUUAUAAAUUCAGAAAAUGAGUCUCAGAGAAGUUAAGUGACUCGUGCAAGUUCACCUGGUUAGCAAGAUUAAGAUUCAUACUCUGCUCUGUCAGCCAUCUAUUUUUGUUUAGUUUGACCUUCUUAAAAUUAAUGUUGUUAAAUCUGACCUAUGAUGACGCCUUGUUAGACAGUAAAAGCUUAUUGAAUUACAUAUUUUAUGCUUUUUGGAAAUGUGACCAAUGUGUAAUGGAUACUGUUAACAACAAAUUGAAUAAAAGGUACACCCUUAAUACCAGAGUGAAUUAGGGCAAGCUACAAACGAUGUGAUAUAUUACUGGAGUCAUUGUUAUUGAAUUAAAGCUUCCUAGUAUUUGAUAUAUGGAUUAAUAAUCAAACAUAUAUGUAUUUUAAUAUGGUCCAUCUCUGAAUGAUGAAACAUGAAAAGAAAACAUUGCAUCCAUCAUUGUUGCAUUAUUUUUAAUUUUGAAAGUAGCUAAUGUAUUUAUCUAGAAAUAAAAUCAUAUUAACCCAUACAAGCUUAUACAUAGCAUAAAGCAUUAUAUAAUACACAUUAAAUGCAUAGAUAUUUUUACAUGUGUCAAGAUUGAAAGUGGAGUGUGGGGUGUAGUAAUCCCAGAAAUAAGGAAGCUAUGAGUGGGGGAAUCAUAAAAAUAUGAAAAGAAACUCCUUCCAAAUGAUUGAAUGAUUCCUAAAGUGUGCAUAUGCAGAGUAAAAUUUCAAACAAAAGCAAUAGCUAUAAUUGAACAGUUUCAGCAAUUGCCUUUUAAAUUUAUGCUUUUAAAUUUUAUACUUUUAAAUUUUGAUGUAACUGGAAGCUUACAGGAAAACUGUAAAUGCUGUAUCCAGAUUCACCAAGUGCUUUUAUUGCUCUGUGUAUGAAUAUAUAUGUAAAAUAAAUGUUACACAUAUAAAA
ensembl:lncRNA LINC02141 long intergenic non-protein coding RNA 2141